rnacentral:pre_miRNA from 1 species
AUUGAGACUUUAGUAUUUUCAUGCAAUUUAUGUCAACAUGAUAUGCUAAAGUGUCGGUUCU